CUUGUACUCCCUCCGUCCCAAAUUUUUGUCUUAGGUUUGUCUAGACAUGGAUGUAUCUAAAUACUAAACUGUGACUAGAUACAUUUAUAUCUAGACAAAUCUAAGANNAGAAUUUUGAGACGGAGGGAGUAUGAC
rfam:Hordeum vulgare subsp. vulgare, WGS project CAJW01000000 data, contig: morex_contig_40035